rnacentral:lncRNA from 1 species
GUACUUCGAUCGUUUGCGAUACAUUUCGCUUUUUUAGAGCCGUAACUUGUCGCAUGGCGGCAUUUCUUUGCUGGCGUCUUAAAUCGUAAGCGUAGGCACAGAAUACAGUACUUUUCGCGACGGUGGAAACACGCGGGGCCAACCAACCAAGCAGCUUUGGGGCCCAAACAACUCGUUGAAGGCGGCCUGCACGCUGCGAACAGUCAAGUGCGCAGCUCAACUACCUGUACCUGAAGCACGGCAGCAGCUGGCAGCAACAGCAGCAGCUAGAAGCGAGAAGCGAGAGGUUUGCUGAGCGACCAAAUCUAAGACCGCUAGAACAUCACGACGUCUUGCUUGCACUAAUGACCUUACACGCUUUAUUGCAAGUACUCGCGACGACCAUUUACGGGCAGACCUACGGCAACAUUCGGAGCUUAUAUUGCGACAGCUUGAUAUCAAUUCAAAUCCAACAGCUAAAAUGCAUGCAGGUUAUCAUAAACUUGCAGCGACACAAGGGUCUUCGCAGGCCUUCAUACCUCUGCUGGCUGCGGUUGAUUUAACUGCAACGUCAUCUAGUUACGUUAUACCACUUUGAAAGGUAAACACAUCGUUUCUAACCAAUCUCGGAGCAAAAACAUGAAAACUCAUGCCAUCAUGACAGCCGUGACGUCUGGUUCUCUCUCUCACCUUCUCCACAGAAUUACAUAACGAUUGUUCUAACUGCUUUUCUCCUCAAAAGUGCUGCUUAGAAACGGUUUGAAUUUUUUACCUAGGUUUGGACGUUACGGGUGAAGUUCUUGAAGCUAGAGACGAGACCGCGGCAUCGCACGAUUAAAACAUCGAUCGGUUAAUGAAGGAGAUCCGGGCGCGGCUUGAUGAUGUGUGAGAGGCUGCAGCUGGCUCUCACACAGCUGGCGGUGAUUGUUUCUGACAUAAGGGGGGUCAGAUGUGGGUUUUCAGAUGUGCCGCGAUACCUGCGAUGGAUGGGCCAAUCCAAGCCCUACGAAGGCUAUAUUUUGCCGAAACAGCACAUCACACUGAUGUGCAUUACGAUGCUUGUUUGGCCGCUGGCUGGCAACCGACCGCAGGGCAGGGAGCGUGCAUCGCGGUGGUGUCGGGUUUGUGACGGUCGAUCGUCAGGCAAUCGAUUGAAGACGAGCGAUACGUGUUGUUGCUCGAAUGUCACUGAAAUGAAAAAAGCAAACAUACGUCCUGACCUUUGGAGCUUAGGCCCUGUGCCAGGGUUCUGCCAUGGAUGCUGCGGAGAUGGGUGUUGAGGACCAACGCGCGCGGGCUAGCGCACGUCCUGGAUUGCAUACGGAGACGUAAGUUGGAGUACAUGAACGGCUAAUGCGGCUCAUGAGACCUUUUUCUAUUACUAUAUAUUUUAUCUUUUCUCCUUAUUUUGCUCAAGAAGCUUGUAAUAAAAAGCGUCA